rnacentral:lncRNA from 10 species
UGACGUUCCCUACGCGGUCGGGCGUUGGGUUUCGCGGCGCUCGCCGCACUGGUUGUUCAGCACCUUCGGUCCGGUUGAGGUUGUCAAGUCGGACCAAACAGGUUGUUUCUCUGCAGUUUCCAGUAAGUGACCGUUCCAGCCGGGGCUGUGGCUAGAGUGUGAAGGCAAACCGGUACGAAAGAUGAGUAUUUAGUACUCCAUUUGUGCUGUUUUCCUUUUGUGGUAUCAUUCAGCCUUGUGGCUUCAAACAUUGUACUGAAGAUUCUCAGACUUAUUACUGCAUGGCAGGGAGGUUUAAUAGACAUGGAUAAGAAGUCCACUCACAGAAAUCCUGAAGAUGCCAGGGCUGGCAAAUAUGAAGGUAAACACAAACGAAAGAAAAGAAGAAAGCAAAACCAAAACCAGCACCGAUCCCGACAUAGAUCAGUGACGUCUUUUUCUUCAGAUGAUCCUAUGUUUCCUUCUUCCUCAUCAUCGUCUUCAGGAAGCCAGACAGAUUCAAGUAUUGAAGGUGCUGCCAAGGGAAAAAUUAAGAAGAAGAGAAGAGAGAAAACAAAUAAAUGGGAAAAAAGAAAGGAUAAGAUUUACAAAAUAUGAAACACCAAGAAAAAGAGAAGGAAAAAAAGGAGGAAACAACCACAUAUGUCACCUUUCCAAGGGGGACUGAAACUGGGCUGACCCUUUUGAUUUCCAAGCUCAGCGUUUUGGUGUAAGGCGGCCAAAGAAGGAUGCGGAGCCCAGCACUGUGAAGCCUACAAAAACAUUGAUGCGCUGGCUUGGGGAUUUGAAUUUGAACAUCUUUCACACUAAGUUCAGACUCAUGAAACCAAUCUUCAGAUGCUCUGUAAACCACAUAAUAAAGAGUUUGGAAAUUAUA